CGUUAGCGGCGCGCUUAACACAUGCAAGUCGAGCGAGAAAGGGGCAACCCCGGUAAAGCGGCGCACGGGUGAGUAACACGUAGGUAAUCUACCCUCGGGUGGAGGAUAACUUUCCGAAAGGAAGGCUAAUACUGCAUGAGACCACGACCUCGAAAGGGGAUGGGGUCAAAGCCGGCCUCUGUACACAAGCUGGCGCCUGAGGAUGAGCCUGCGGCCCAUCAGCUAGUUGGUAGGGUAAUGGCCUACCAAGGCGAAGACGGGUAGCUGGUCUGAGAGGAUGAUCAGCCACACUGGAACUGAGACACGGUCCAGACUCCUACGGGAGGCAGCAGUGGGGAAUCUUGCGCAAUGGGCGAAAGCCUGACGCAGCGACGCCGCGUGAGUGAUGAAGGCCUUCGGGUUGUAAAGCUCUGUGGAGAGGGACGAAUAAGUGUUGGCUAACAUCCAGCAUGAUGACGGUACCUCUUUAGCAAGCACCGGCUAACUCUGUG
rnacentral:rRNA from 1 species